rnacentral:rRNA from 1 species
GUAGGGAAUAUUGGACAAUGGGCGAAAGCCUGAUCCAGCAAUGCCGCGUGUGUGAAGAAGGCCUGCGGGUUGUAAAGCACUUUUGGCCGGGAAGAAAGGCUCGCUAUGAAUAGUGGCGGGUUUUGACGUAACCGGCGGAAAAAGCACCGGCUAACUCUGUGCCAGCAGCCGCGGUAAUACAGAGGGUGCGAGCGUUAAUCGGAAUCACUGGGCGUAAAGGGCGCGCAGGCGGUUGGACAAGUUGGGUGUGAAAUCCCCGGGCUUAACCUGGGAAUUGCAUUCAAAACUGUCCGGCUGGAGUAUGGCAGAGGGAAGCGGAAUUCCGGGUGUAGCGGUGAAAUGCGUAGAUAUCCGGAGGAACACCGGCGGCGAAAGCGGCUUCCUGGACCAAUACUGACGCUGAGGCGCGAAAGCGUGGGGAGCGAACAGGAUUAGAUACCCCAGUAGUCC